rnacentral:rRNA from 1 species
CGCCUGUUUUAUCAAAAACAUAGCCUCCUGAAUUUAUAGAAGGUAAAGCCUGCCCAGUGGAAAUUCUCAACGGCCGCGGUAUCCUAACCGUGCUAAGGUAGCAUAAUCACUUGUUUUUUAAAUAAAAACCUGUAUGAAUGGCACCACAUUUUUUAACUGUCUCCUUUUCUUUCCUUCCAAACUACUAUUUAUGUGAAGAAACAUAAAUACUUAAGAUAGACGAAAAGACCCUGUCGAACUUCAACUCCUAUUAGAUUUUAUAAAUAUUUCUAAAUAUCCUCUUUCUAAUAAAAGUUUUGGUUGGGGUAACCCUGGAGAAAAAAUAACCUCCAGAAAAUAAAAAGAUUUUUAAUCUUUUAAUACUUUAAUAAUAAAGAACCAGACUUCCUGGUUAACAGAAAAAGUUACCGCAGGGAUAACAGCGUUAUCUUCUCUAAGAGCCCAUAUUGACGAGAAGGCUUGCGACCUCGAUGUUGGAUUGGGGUAUCCUAAAGGUGCAACAGCUUUUAAAGGUUGGACUGUUCGUCCAUUAAAACCCUACGUGAUCU